AAACUAGAAUAACUGGUGUUAUUGGAUAGUUGCAAAGCAAGUUUCUUUACACAACCAAAAUGGCCGAUGGAGCAAUGAACGAAUUCAGAGGUGUGUAUGCAACUUAUAUGUAUAGAUAUGUCAUGAAUAAAAUUCAGUUAAAUAAAUAUAUAGUCUUUUUUCAUUGCGAUAUUGGGUUGUGCAUAGUUUCAUUGCCAACGAAAUGACUGUAAUAUUAACGAAACAAUUGAUACACUUUCAUAUAUUAAUGCUGGACAUAUCAAACGCUAGUGAAAGUUAAUUUGCCAUCUCUUUGCCGAUCUAUCAUUAAUUUAAAAGGAAUGUUUUUAAAAAAAAUGACAUUUUGUAUUUAAUUUUGUUGUGUCGUUGUUAGUUGUGAAAUAUAUCACAGUAUAUAUAUUAUAAAAGAUAUCCUACAUAAUAGUUUAAAAAGAACUUCCAGAAAUUCUUGAAAACAGCAAAACUGUUGCUCUAAGUGUGUGUUGGUAAAAUUUUUGUGAUCGGCUUCGGCCGAUCACUAUUGUGUCCAUAUGAGGCAUCCGGCAAACGCUUCCACGUGCGCACACAUUCCGCUUGCAUAAGUCGUUGUUAUAAAAACUUGAAGCUUUGGUUUAGUAUUUAUAUAACAUUUGACUCAGUUUUAUUUCAAUUCAUUUACCUUAAGAGAUGCAAACAUACAUUAAAUACAGUUCGACCUGUUAAUUCAAGAAUGCACAUUUUGUCUCACGCGUAAGAUUUUCAAUCGAAAGAUUCAUUCAGUAAUGCAGUUGACCUCGAUGAAUGACCUCGAUCAUAAGAAGAUGCUCUAUGAACUGACCUCGAUCUACUGAUGUUGCUUAAUAGUAGCUAGGAAGACGGCUUGAUUUAUAAACAAGGUUACGUUAUAAAGCGACCUCAAUAGCAAGUUAUGAUGGCAUUCAAUGUUUUUCAAUCGCAUUAAAUUAUUUUAAUACAACUCUUUCUUUGUAUACGUGUUAAUGCUCUUUGAAGAGCCCUACCUAGUAUUCUGAAGAAGAAG
rnacentral:misc_RNA from 1 species